rnacentral:rRNA from 1 species
UACGAAGGGGGCUAGCGUUGCUCGGAAUCACUGGGCGUAAAGCGCACGUAGGCGGAUUCUUAAGUCAGGGGUGAAAUCCUGGAGCUCAACUCCAGAACUGCCUUUGAUACUGGGAGUCUCGAGUCCGGGAGAGGUGAGUGGAACUGCGAGUGUAGAGGUGAAAUUCGUAGAUAUUCGCAAGAACACCAGUGGCGAAGGCGGCUCACUGGCCCGGUACUGACGCUGAGGUGCGAAAGCGUGGGGAGCAACAGGGAUUAAGAA